AUUGAACGCUGGCGGCAUGCUUUACACAUGCAAGUCGGACGGCAGCACAGAGGAGCUUGCUUCUUGGGUGGCGAGUGGCGAACGGGUGAGUAACGCAUCGGCACGUACCAAGUAAUGGGGGAUAACUGUCCGAAAGGACAGCUAAUACCGCAUACGCCCUGAGGGGGAAAGCGGGGGAUCUUAGGACCUCGCGUUAUUCUAGCGGCCGAUGUCUGAUUAGCUGGUUGGGGGGGUAAAGGCCCACCAAGGCGACGAGCAGUAGCGGGUCUGAGAGGAUGAUCGGCCACACUGGGACUGGGACACGGACCAGACUCCUACGGGAGGCAGCAGUGGGGAAUUUUGGACAAUGGGCGCAAGCCUGAUCCAGCCAUGCCGCGUGUCUGAAGAAGGCCUUCGGGUUGUAAAGGACUUUUGUCAGGGAAGAAAAGGGGCAUGUUAAUACCGUGCUCUGAUGACGGUACCUGAAGAAUAAGCACCGGCUAACUACGUG
rnacentral:rRNA from 1 species